rnacentral:piRNA from 1 species
AGGGAAAGGAAAAGCCGAACUUUAUAC